rnacentral:misc_RNA from 1 species
AAGAGAGAGAGAGAGAGAGAGAAACUUGAAGUGGGUCUCAUCUGAAUCAUUGAAUGGGGGAUUGAGAAUUUGGCUGCCAAAGAAAAGCAAAAAAGAAAUAUAUUUAAGCACAAGAAACCAAGUACUGUUUUUUUAUUUUGUAUAGAGAAGAGAGCUUGGAAUUCUAAAGUGAGGAGAUCUUAGAAUGGCAUAAAGCAAGGUUUUGUUUCUUUUGGGGGUUGUUCUAUUCCAGAGUCUUUGCUCUCAUAUUUGAUUAUAUAUGGCUUGUGCCACUGUAGCAAUCUAUUAGUCCUACUACUAAGUGGCCCAUGGCUUGUGUCUGCCCAGUCACUACACUAAAAGAACAAAAACCCUCUUUUCUUAGUACCAAAGGAAUGAUAAUUUCCUAAAAUACCCCCACAUAAAGAUCUUCAUUAGAUGUGAAUUUAUAACUGCCAACAUCAAUCCUGUUAUUCCUAGAAAGCACAAAGUAGGACCCAAAAGUGAAAAUCCUUGGCAUCCACAUAAGCUGAGUAGAGCAAACAAGGCAGACCAUUGGCGAAGAAAGAACAUUAAUCCCCAAGGCAUAUCCACAAAAGCAUGGUCGGGUGAUGUGGUAUGCCAGUCCAAGGGACCGGUAAGCCUGUUUCCAGAGAAAAGCAGAUAGAAAAAAUUGAUAGUGUUGUAGGGGAACAAUACAAAUGCAAAAAGGAUACUUGGCUUCUCAAGGGUAUUGUUCCUACCGCUUUCAUCAUCCUUGUCAGAUUCUUCCAUAACAGCCUUAACAUGCUUAGAAUACAGGCUUAUAAUUUGGAUUCCUAAAAUUCCUUUGGGACCGAGUGUUUUAGGGCCUUCCCUGCUUUUUGCUUUAACCCCUCCUGGCCACCAGACAAAGUAAAUAUGCUCCAGGUACAGUGUCAUCCCAUCAACGUAUUCUUAGAGAUUUCACCUUGCAGGGUAUGAACACAGAGAAGAAAUCAGCGCGUUUAAACAAGACAUUUGAUCCAAAUCAAUCAAGCAAAAGAAGAGUGAGAAAAGGAUCAGAUCCUAUCCACAACAGGUCCUGAUAAAUUCAAGUUGUUUCUUCAACCAGAGACAAGAAAAGCAAGUAAGUUGACAUUUCAAGAAAGAAAUAGCAUCUAGCAGUGCAGAGAAAGUAGGUGGUUCAGAAUUGUAUUCCCAUGAUGAGGGUGGGCUGAAUGAUUUUGUUUUUCUAUUUAUUUUUUAAUGGUUUUUGUUAUAGAGAGAUGUGUUACAUGUGCAUAGUAAAGUCACCAGGGGACAGUCCUUAAAUGCAUUAAGUGAGCCAGUAUCAUCUCUGUGCUACAAGUUGAGAUCAUAAUCAACCACCAAAGAAGACUUGGCACAGAGAUGGUGUGGGCUCACAAAAAACAGAUACAGAAUUUUUUUUUUUUUUUCCCCUUGUUCUUUUUCUUCUCCUCUCCCUUUUAUCUUUCCUUCAAGAAGAAAUUUCCGUCUGUUUUCCUUAGUAAUAUGCCUCCUCUUGCAGACUAUAGUGAAACCAAGAUUAUUCCAAUGUAAAGAGUCUAUUAUUGUACUUCAAUUGUUUCAAACUUGACAGAACCAUCUUAUUUCACAAUUUUACAUUUGCAAUAUUCACUCCAUACAUACACAAACCAAGAAGCCUCAUAAUUGCAAUCUAUAAUUUAUGAUUCCUUUACAAUAUAUUAGUAAUCUAGCUGUUCCUCAUGACCUAAGGAAACAAGCAGUUGCAUGUUGAAACAUACUGAACUAGUCAUUUAUUUAUUAGAUCAUCCCAAUGCCCAGCUACAACCCCUAAAUAGGAUUGAUGAUAACACAGAACAGUGUACGACCUAAUACCAGCCUUCCCAGUUUCAGGACCAAUGUCAAAUCCUCCUAAAUAUCAUGAAAAUCUCUACAAAACUAAGCAGCUUAUCAAAUGGUCUAGCAGAAUCUGUUCCUCUCGUAAAUUUUGAAUUGUGAUAGUCUAUUAAAGGGCCUAAAAACCAGAAUGAUCGAUCCAAAGAGGAAUAAGACACGAUAAUACUACGAUAUUUGAACUGAAAAUCAAUUCAGAUAAGAACAAAAGAGAAGCAGAAACAAA